UACGAAGGGGGCUAGCGUUGCUCGGAAUCACUGGGCGUAAAGGGUGCGUAGGCGGGUCUUUAAGUCAGGGGUGAAAUCCUGGAGCUCAACUCCAGAACUGCCUUUGAUACUGAGGAUCUUGAGUUCGGGAGAGGUGAGUGGAACUGCGAGUGUAGAGGUGAAAUUCGUAGAUAUUCGCAAGAACACCUGAGGCGAAGGCGGGUUACUGGGCUGAUACUGACGCUGAGGCGCGAAAGCCAGGGGAGCAAACGGG
rnacentral:rRNA from 1 species